CUGCGAGUGAAGCGGGAAAAGCUCAAAUUUAAAAUCUGGCAGUCUUCGAUUGUCCGAGUUGUAAUCUAGAGAAGCAUUAUCCGCGCUGGACCGUGUACAAGUCUCCUGGAAUGGAGCGUCAUAGAGGGUGAGAAUCCCGUCUUUGACACGGACUGCCAGGGCUUUGUGAUGUGCUCUCAAAGAGUCGAGUUGUUUGGGAAUGCAGCUCAAAAUGGGUGGUAAAUUCCAUCUAAAGCUAAAUAUUGGCGAGAGACCGAUAGCGAACAAGUACCGUGAGGGAAAGAUGAAAAGAACUUUGGAAAGAGAGUUAAACAGUACGUGAAAUUGCUGAAAGGGAAACGCUUGAAGUCAGUCGCGUUGUCCGGGAAUCAACCUUGCUUUUGCUGGGCGUACUUCCUGGUCAACGGGUCAGCAUCAAUUUUGACCGUUGGAAAAAGUGGCUGGGAAUGUGGCAUCUUCGGAUGUGUUAUAGCCCAGUUUCGUAUACAACGGUUGGGAUUGAGGAACUCAGCACGCCGCAAGGCCGGGUUUUUAACCACGUUCGUGCUUAGGAUGCUGGCAUAAUGGCUUUAAUCGACCCGUCUUGAAACACGGACCAAGGAGUCUAACAUGCCUGCGAGUGUUUGGGUGGAAAACCCGAGCGCGUAAUGAAAGUGAAAGUUGAGAUCCCUGUCGUGGGGGAGCAUCGACACCCGGACUUGAACUUCUGUGACGGAUCCCCGGUAGAGCAUGUAUGUUGGGACCCGAAAGAUGGUGAACUAUGCCUGAAUAGGGUGAAGCCAGAGGAAACUCUGGUGGAGGCUCGUAGCGAUUCUGACGUGCAAAUCGAUCGUCAAAUUUGGGUAUAGGGGCGAAAGACUAAUCGAAC
rnacentral:rRNA from 1 species